CACAGCCACGCGUACUAAAUUGUUAUAUACACACGAUUUUCUUUAUGUUUGAGAGAUUUUGAUUAUAUGCUACCUUCAUUUUGUUAAUUUUUCAAAAAGCAGUUGUUUAUUCUUGUUUCAAACAAUGGCAACCAGAUUUACUGUAAUAAGGCCCGAAGAGAAUAAGUUGUCUUCAGGUGAUAAAAAUUACGGUUCUACAACGUUAGAUAAAUCCUAUGCGAGGGAAAGCGACGAAGUUAAUGAAAAUAGCGUUGACUUAAAUAUCAAUGACUAUGAUGGUCAGCAAGAAGAGAACCAACCAAUCUUUAUAGAUGGCAGUUUGUCAGGAUAUGAAAGAAAUAUGUAUUUGUUCCAUGAAGAAAUGCCUGAGCGUCCAACUGUUGCUACUCUUCUGAAUUCCCUAGCCAAUUAUAAUGUAACUAUCCCUUCUGUAUCUGACCAGGAUGCUAAGAUGGUGCCAAAGAAAGCAAACCUGGGAACAUUAGCAGGUGUUUACUUUCCUUGUAUUCAAAAUAUUUUUGGGGUAAUCUUUUUCAUUCGCCUGGUUUGGAUCGUAGGGACUGCUGGUGUUCCACAAGCCUUCUUAGUGGUGUUUCUCUGCUGCUGUGUGACAUUUGCCACCUGCAUCUCUUUAAGUGCUAUUGCCACUAAUGGAAUUGUUCCUGCUGGAGGUGCUUACUUUAUGAUAUCGAGAGCACUUGGGCCCGAGUUUGGUGGAGCUGUGGGAAUAUUAUUUUAUUUAGCAACUUCUGUGGCUGGGGCAAUGUACAUCACUGGAGCUGUAGAGAUUUUACUGGUAUAUUUGGUGCCCCAGUUGUCUUUGUUUGGGGACUUCCGUCAGGACCCUCAGAUAAUGUAUCAUAACUUUCGUGUGUAUGGAACCAUUCUUCUUAUCCUGAUGGGCAUUAUUGUUUACAUUGGAGUGGCAUUUAUCAGCAAGUUUGCACCUGUAGCCCUCUUCUGUGUUAUUGUCUCGAUUCUCUGUGUGUACAUUGGCAUAUUUGUAAACAUAUAUGGGAGUAAAAAUUUCAACAUUUGUGUUUUAGGAGAUCGGCUCUUGUCAAGCAUGAGCAACGCUGUUUGUUCAAAGGAGAAGAAUGUUACAGGGUCUCUGUACAAUAUUUAUUGUCAUUCUCUAAAUGAAACAUAUGAAGAAUGUGAUCCAUACUUCAUGGAGCAUGAGGUGCAUGUAGUGCAGGCUAUUCCAGGUUUAGCAAGUGGUGUUUUCAAAGAUAACUUGUUAGCUUACUAUCGCCACAAAGGAGAUUUGGUUUCUAGGACAACUGAACGGGAAGCUGCCAGCUCAUAUGGGCAGAACACGUACAACCAGGUUUUGGUGGAUAUAACAACUACUUUUACUUUGUUUGUGGCCAUUUUCUUCCCAUCUUGCACAGGACUGAUGGCAGGGUCUAACAGAUCUGGUGAUCUUGAAGAUGCUUCCAAAUCUAUACCGUCUGGUACUCUGGCAGCUCAGUUAACAACAUCUUUUGUUUAUUUGACGGGUGUUUUACUCUUUGGAGCAACUUCUGAUAACCUAUUUCUUCGAGACAAAUUUGGAGAGAGCGUUGGUGGAGAUUUGGCUGUUGCUGUUCUGGCUUGGCCUCACCCAAUGGUCAUUAAGAUAGGGUCAUUUCUGUCCACUGUUGGAGCUGGAUUACAAUCUUUAACAGGAGCACCUCGACUGAUGCAGGCUAUUGCUAAAGACCAGAUUAUCCCCUUCCUAAAUGUGUUUUCUUACAGUUCCUCAAAGAAUGAACCAACUCGGGCUCUUUUCCUUACCUUGGGAAUCUGUGAACUAGGAAUUUUAAUUGGAAAUUUAGACUACAUUGCACCAAUUUUGACUAUGUUUUUUCUUAUGUGUUACAUGUUUGUGAAUCUGGCAUGCACACUGCAGAGUCUACUUAGAACCCCAAACUGGAGACCUCGUUUUAAGUAUUACCACUGGUCACUGUCUCUUCUGGGAGUUAUUUUAUGCCUGGUGGUAAUGUUUUUGAGUAGCUGGUAUUAUGCCCUUGUUGCUAUGGCAAUAGCAGGCUGCAUCUACAAGUACAUAGAGUAUCGAGGAGCUGAGAAAGAAUGGGGAGAUGGUAUCCGUGGCUUGGCAUUAUCAGCAGCACGUUAUAGCUUGUUGAGGCUUGAAGAAGGCCCACCUCAUACAAAGAACUGGCGUCCUCAACUUUUAGUACUCUGUAAACUUAAUGAAGACUUAACACCAAAAUACAGAAAACUGUUUACAUUUGCUUCUCAGUUAAAAGCUGGGAAAGGGCUAACCCUUGUGAGUUCAGUACUAGAAGGAGCAUAUAGGAAAAUGUAUAGUGAAUCUCAAGCAGCUAAACUGAGUUUAAAGAAAACUAUGGAUGAGGAGAAAGUCAAGGGGUUUUCAGAAGUAGUGGUGACAAAUAAUGUAACUGAUGGUAUUUGUCAUUUGAUUCAGACAUCUGGUCUUGGUGGAUUAAAGCACAAUACAGUAAUCCUUGGCUGGCCUUAUGGCUGGAGACAGUCUCCAGAAGAAAAAACAUGGAGAGUUUUUCUUGAUACAAUUCGCAUUGUUUCUGCCAGCAAGAAUGCCCUGUUGGUUCCAAAAGGAAUUACUAUGUUUCCUGAAAGUACAGAAAAAGUAUCAGGUCAUAUUGAUGUGUGGUGGAUUGUUCAUGAUGGAGGCUUGUUGAUGUUACUACCAUUCCUACUGAAACAACACAAAACCUGGAAGAAUUGCAAGCUACGAAUCUUCACUGUUGCUCAAAUGGAAGACAAUAGUAUCCAGAUGAAGAAAGAUUUGGCCACUUUUAUCUAUCAUCUUAGGAUAGAAGCUGAAGUCGAAGUUGUGGAAAUGAUGGAUAGUGACAUAUCAGCAUAUACUUAUGAGCGGACUUUGAUGAUGGAGCAGCGGACUGAGAUGAUCAAGCAACUGCGUUUGAACAGGAAGGAAACUCUGAAUGUGCCAUGGAAUAAAUGAAGACUUGCCUAGCCCAGCUCACUCAUCUCCAUCUCAAGCAAAUCAGCAUUAUGAAGAAAAUAACGAGCAAGUUGCAAAUAGUAGUUCAUCAGACUCGUUUGACAAGUUACUCUACAUUAGACCUGAUGAAGCCAAUGUUCGACGAAUGCACACAGCAGUGAAAUUAAAUGAAGUAAUUGUCACAAAGUCUCAUUCUGCUCAGCUUGUCAUUAUAAAUCUUCCUGGUCCU
rnacentral:misc_RNA from 1 species